CACGGGGGGAGCAAGCGUUGUUCGGAAUCACUGGGCGUAAAGGGCGUGUAGGCGGUCAGGUAAGUGGGAUGUGAAAUGCCCCGGCUCACCCGGGGACCGGCAUCCCAUACUGCUUGGCUAGAGUCCGGGAGAGGAGAGUGGAAUUCCUGGUGUAGCGGUGAAAUGCGCAGAUAUCAGGAAGAACACCCGUGGCGAAAGCGGCUCUCUGGAACGGUACUGACGCUGAGACGCGAAAGCGUGGGGAGCGAACAGG
rnacentral:rRNA from 1 species